CGGAGCGACGCCGCGUGUGGGAAGAAGGCCUUCGGGUCGUAAACCACUGUCGAAGGGACUAUAAUGAAUGUACCCUUGGAGGAAGCCCGGCUAACUACGCGC
rnacentral:rRNA from 1 species